rnacentral:rRNA from 1 species
AUGGUGAACCUUCCUUGGAUCAUCAAUGGGGAUUUUAACCUUGUCAGAGGUGCGGAGGAGCGCAGCAUUGGGAGAGUGAACCGUAGGUUGCUAAAUAAAUUCAGUCAUACUAUAAACAGUCUCGGGCUGCAUGACAUGCCAUUGGUGGGCCGGAAGUUUACUUGGUGCAAUGAUCAGGAGAGAUCAGUAUUGGCGAGGCUGGAUCGGGUGCUCUUUAACAAUGCUUGGGAGGAGGUUUAUCCCAUCAGCGACCAACUGCCUCUCAGCUCCAAUGUGUCUGACCAUUGUCCUUUACUGCUCACUUGCACAGCCGCCCGGCCGCGUGCGCGUCGUUUUCGUUUUGAGAACUUCUGGUGCAGACUCCCGGGGUUCCAAGAUACGGUAAAACAAGUUUGGGAAGAGGAGGUGGCCAGCAGCGAUCCGAUGAAUAUUUUGUUUAUUAAGCUGCACCGGACGGCCAAAGCACUCAGGAGCUGGGGUCAGAGAAAACGGAGCUCUAUGGAUAUUUAA